GGAGGAGGUGGAACAGAUGGAGGAAGUGGGCAAGGAACGUUAGGUCACUCCACAGGGUAACGUUACAAAGCAAAGCCAGUUGGUCAUGAGGUGAGCCCAUGUGUGAAGCCUGCCACCCCCUGGCUUCUAUUGGGAGGACAGAUGUCAGAGGCAGCUGCAGAAGAACAGCCCUAGAAUUGGUCCUGUAUGCAGAGGAUGUUGGGUCUGGAUCUGGCCACAUGUGCACGGAAGUGUUUAGAUGCCAUCCAGCCACGUCCUGUGCUACGAACUGACAUGGAAGAAACAACCCUUGACACUGGCCUUGAAAUUGCCGUGACUGAUCUCACAGGUACAGCGUAAGAGGAAGCGGGGUGUUGUGUUCCUUUCCUCCCCACAUCAAUUUGCCAACUGGUUGUGAAUGAGUGCCAUUUUGAAACAUGCAAAUGUGGGUAGCCUCUGCCUGUAUCAGCUGAUGCAGGUCAGUGUUGUUUUUGGCCGGGCCUUAAAGGCCUGAGGGGAGAAAGACGUACUGAGAGUUAGAAAAGGUCGCUUAAACUCUAGCGGGAUUACUUUCCAUGGCUGAGAUCCUGUGAAUGGAUCCAUUGUGGGGUGGGUCUCUGCUCGCGGAAAGCAAACCCUGUCAAGAUCCAGUUCAUUAGCGCCUAGUUUACUGUUUGAAGUUAGUUAUUUAUCCGGUGUCUAAAGGGGAACCCCGUUCAGACAUAUGAAAGUGUGUGUGUGCAUGCGCGUGUAUCCAUGCACGGGCAUGUAAUGUUUACUUGUAUGAACGUACAGUACUCAUAGGAUCUACAGGGGGUUUCCAGAGCAAAUUGCUCAAGAGCAAAUAAAACUUUCCGUGGCGCAAUAAAAUGUAUGGAGAAUGAACAGGAGGGACACUGGUG